rnacentral:rRNA from 1 species
GACGAACGCUGGCGGCGUGCUUAACACAUGCAAGUCGAACGGAAAGGCCCUGCUUUUGUGGGGUGCUCGAGUGGCGAACGGGUGAGUAACACGUGAGUAACCUGCCCUUGACUUUGGGAUAACUUCAGGAAACUGGGGCUAAUACCGGAUAGGAGCUCCUGCUGCAUGGUGGGGGUUGGAAAGUUUCGGCGGUUGGGGAUGGACUGGGGGCUUAUCAGCUUGUGGGUGGGGUAGUGGCUUACCAAGGCUUUGACGGGUAGCCGGCCUGGGAGGGUGACCGGCCACAUUGGGACUGCGAUACGGCCCAGACUCCUACGGGAGGCAGCAGUGGGGAAUAUUGCACAAUGGGCGGAAGCCUGAUGCAGCAACGCCGCGUGCGGGAUGACGGCCUUCGGGUUGUAAACCGCUUUCGCCUGUGACGAAGCGUGAGUGACGGUAAUGGGUAAAGAAGCACCGGCUAACUACGUG